GACGAACGCUGGCGGCGUGCUUAACACAUGCAAGUCGAACGGAAAGGCCCUGCUCUUGUGGGGUGCUCGAGUGGCGAACGGGUGAGUAACACGCGAGUAACCUGUCCUUGACUUUGGGAUAACUUCAGGAAACUGGGGCUAAUACCGGAUAGGAGCUACUGCAGCACGUUGGGGGUUGGAAAGUUUCGGCGGUUGGGGAUGGACUCGCGGCUUAUCAGCUUGUUGGUGUGGUAGUGGCUUACCAAGGCUUUGACGGGUAGCCGGCCUGAGAGGGUGACCGGCGACAUUGGGCCUGAGAGACGGACCAGACGCCUACGGGAGGCAGCAGGGGGGAAUAUUGCGGAAUGGGCGGGAGCCUGAUGCAGCGGCGCCGCGUGCGGGAUGACGGCCUUCGGGUUAUGAACCGCUUUCGCCUGUGACGAAGCGUGAGUGACGGUAAUGGAUAAAGAAGCACCGGCUAACUACGUG
rnacentral:rRNA from 1 species